rnacentral:misc_RNA from 1 species
CCUGCCACCUUCAAAAUGGACAAAGUUGAUGCCCUCAAGUUUCUAAAUGCUACAUUGCCUGAAAAAUCCACAUUUUCCAUCAUAGUUUUUAGAUGCAAGCCAUUAAACAAGUAGUUCAAUCCAUUUUUUGCAUGUUUUACACCGCUGUCCCAGCCAGGUAAUGUUCCAUUGUCUUUACUUAUGUCAGCAUUUUCAACAGAACAACUACUGCAAUCCCCUGAAUUGUCACUGUGAGACACUGACUGCCCUAGAUCUUGCGGUUGAUCUAUUCCUUGUUUCUCUUUUCCCUGAAAUUUUCCAGAGGUUUGCUUAGUUUUGUUAUCAUCUCCAACAUUGUUUUUU